rnacentral:rRNA from 1 species
AUUGAACGCUGGCGGCAGGCCUAACACAUGCAAGUCGAGCGAGCGGCGGACGGGUGAGUAAUGUCUGGGAAACUGCCCGCUGGAGGGGGAUAACCACUGGAAACGGUAGCCAAUACCGCAUACCAUCAGAUGUGCCCAGCUGGGAUUAGCUAGUAGGUGGGGUAACGGCUCACCUAGGCGACGAUCCCUCGCUGGUCUGAGAGGCUGACCAGCCACACUGGAACUGUGACACGGUCCAGACUCCUACGGGAGGCAGCAGUGGGGAAUAUUGCAAGAUGGGCGCAAGCCUGAUGCAGCCAUGCCGCGUGUGUGAAGAAGGCCUUCGGGUUGUAAAGCACUUUCAGCGGGGAGGCGUUACCCGCAGAAGAAGCACCGGCUAACUCCGUGCCAGCCGCCGCGGUAAUUC